AGCCACGGAGUCCCAGGGCGGAGGACCCCCUAUGCCCUGCAGUCCGAACAAUCGAUUCCGACUCAUCGGACGUCUCACGUCACUAACUUGACGAUUUACCAUCUCUAUCACAAAUCAAAACAAAACAAAGUUAUAUUUACAUAAAAAAACUAAGACAAUUGGACGAAAUUGGUGGCUUCGAUGUCCUUGCCACAACGCACCCACCCAACCUUGGGUGCCCCAAGAAUGAUGUAGGAGGCACACACCAUCUCCGGCAGACCGGAGUCUAUUCCUGGUGGAUUAGGAUCGGCUCAUCUCCCCGCCCAAGAAACACUUAAGGCCGAACUCAGACCGUCGCCCAGAUGAGAAGCGGUCAAAGCGGCAACAACAGAAGGGAAAAUUUUAGACGUUUAAAAUUACAAGUGUUCGGCAAAAUCGCCGCACGACACUAAAUUGGAGGCGUUUGCCAACCGGGUCGCCUAAUCCUGAAGAGCUCCAAGGGAAAAGAAGGGACGUGCUGAAAAGACGUAGUAGUACGCGCGGCUAGGGUUCGGAAUUAAGCCUCUAAUUUUAGAUUAGAUUUCACAGUGAGUACUUGACAAUCUUGACUGUAUGAUAUCACAAAAAUAAUAGCUAAAACUUAUUUAUUGCAGAGUUCAACGUCGGAUGUGGUUGAAGCUGCAGCCAGAAGAGAAAAAUCGCUAGCGGCGAAAUCCAGCGCGAGUCCGCACGGAGCCAAUUGGUCCGGAGGAUAGCGCAGCGUCUGCGUAAGAGGGGCCA